ACACAUUCAGCCUUUGGGGCAAAACAGCAACACAUUCUCGGCCUUUGUUCCAAAAUGUCUCCCUGCAGCAAAGUGUAACUCGCAGCUGAAAGUGAAAAAUACUCAGAGUUUGGUUCUAAAAAUAAGCCCGGUUCACAAUAACAUCGAUAACCUUUACUGACAAGUCGUUUAAGUUUUCUAUAGAGGGUUCAAAAAACAACACUAAAAGAAAAGUGCACAACGUUCCAACUCGCACUCAACCUCCAACACUUUUCUCCUGCGGCUCUAAUGAAGGCGAAGUCAGAUGUCUUGUUGGUUUUCAGAGAGAGAGGAGGAUGCUGGGAAAGGCACGCUCGCCGCGGGCUCAGGGUUAGUGCAAUUAAACGGCUGUCUUGUUGGAUUAUUGUGAAGGUUCCCUGGGCAAAAUUAAUAGCAGCCAGGCCUUUUGUGCUCCCUGAUCUCCCCCACCUCUUCCCACACGGGGUCAUUGAUGCUGCGUGUCCAGAGGAGGGAUGUGAGGGCUGAGGUAGGAAGAGAGAAAGGAAAGAGGACCCAUGAGCCAGGAAGGGGAGUAGUGAGAAGAUGGCUCACAGGAGAACGGGGGAAAGAAAUGUCAUGAUAUAUUGUCUCAGAUUUCAGCAGGCUCCAAAUCUUUAAACCUGUAAUAUAAAGAGAGCUUAUAUCCACUCUCUGCGUCCUUUAUGAAACCAGCUUACACACUGACUUAGUAUUUCAAACAAGAUGGUGCCCCAAACGAACCACUCGCCAUAUGUGUGCCAGUGUUUUUCCACCUCUGCAUCCAUCUACCCUCUUAUUCAGGUUGCAGAGCCUCCACUAAGGCCUCUUUGUGAUGUUUUUUUAAACUAGAUCUUUAACGACCUUCUAUCCGUGUUUGGCACCAAGGGACCCUCCAACUCUCCCCACUCAAUCACUGUGCGAACCUCUGCCAAUGCUGUUUUUGAUAGUCUGUAAAUAUACCAAAUCCAUAAAAUAUGAGCAAACCUAAACAGAUUUGGGGAAAUGCUUGUCAAGCGAAAAGACAAAUAGAGCCCUUGAACUGUAAUAAAACCAACAGUCUCCAACAUCACCCACUGGUCUUUGGAGAGAAGUUUUAAAGCUUAUUGAUCAUGGGCGCAAAAUUGAAAAUGUGGACUCAGACAGUCUUAAGAUAUAAAUAAGUAUCUGUCCCAUCCUCUGUGUACAAAUUAAGAAAUGAGCUCCAUACUCAAUUUUUCAUGAAGGCUGUAAAUAAAUAUGUAAAAUUUGCUGUAAAGAAAGGCGCUUUUACAUUGACUUAAUAGGGGUUCUUUAGCUUUUGGAACCAACCCCUAGUGGACGCUUGAGGAACUGCAGUAUUUCGCACUUUUACAUUAGCUUGACCUUUUGACAUGAAGAUUGCUUUAUAAACUUUUUAAAGUUUUGGGAAUUGAACCACACUGAUUUUACUUUUGAGAGCCAGAAUUUAGCCUGAUCUAGUUUGCAUGUGUCCGACUGAAAUAGACGAUUACCUUAAAGCUGUUUCACCAUAUUAUAGUUAUUCAAAAAUGACAUUUUUUCCAUGUUUUCAUGUUGAAUAUUUGACUUAAACUUAUCAUAAAUCUUCCCCCAAUGAGAUGCAUAUUUCCUAAUCUGUAGACCAGUUCCUCUUAAACCAUUUCACUCAGUGUUAGCCCACUGAAACGUUAUUAAUGCGGUGAAUCAAAAACCAUGAUUUUCAGUCCUUGCUGAAAUGAUGAAUUUGUGGAACUUGUUUAACCUUUUUCCCCAAAUUAGCUUCAUUUGCAGAACAAAUAAACCAGCAGCUCAGAACACGCUCUUAUCUCCAGUACAGAGACUCUUUCUUGUAAUCGGAGCAGUUCAAAGCAGCCUCUUUUUUUUCCUGCUUUAGAGACUCUCUUAGUAAUGAAACACAAAUAAGCUAUUCUGGGCCAUAGAAAUGUCAGAAGUGAAUUAUUUUGGGUUUGAUUUUCCCACAAACAGGGUGAAAUAGUGAGUUUUACACAGUCUGCACUGGGAUGAAGUCAAAGUGAGUGUCAAAGCUAUAUAGAUGUUUUACAGCUGUUGACUUGAGCCUGAACCUGGAUGGUCUAAUAUAGGAUUCCCACAGAUUUUCAGCAGAUAUUCAGUAUAUUUGGCAGCAAAAUUGUGGUGGAUAUCUCCCUGAAAACAUUAAUCAUUUAAAAUAUAUUUUUUCUGGAGUUAAAAUGAACAAAAAAUGGAAGAUGUUUUUCAAUUCUGCUCUGACAUUCAGAGAAGGAAGGUUGGGAUACCAGGAGGCGGCCAUGAACUGGACAAAAAUCUCAACAAUAUUGACAUUGCACUAUAAAACAUGUUAUCUGUUCACCUUUAUAUUGGAUUUGGAGAUCAUUGGUAGCAGAUGAGUGACCCGGCCUGGUGGUUCUCGAUUCCUCCCCUUUUGCAGUGAAGGUCGGGGUCAACAUUGAUCUUUGGGUCAUAAAAGAAACCUUUAAACAUUUGUGGGCUGGAACAGCGCUGCAUUAGGUGGUGCCACUGACAGAGAAGUCCCUUAAUAAUGGGUCUUUAUGUGCCGUAAAGUCGGCUGAUCUAUCGUCAUUUUGAAGUCUAAUCAAUAGCUGGACUGUGGCUUUCUGUCAGUUUGUACAUGCUAAAUUCACGUCUAAACUAAGGCUUUGGUCCAUAAUGACAAUUUUAGGUGUUUUUGGACAAGCAUUUCUCUUUUAAUUUACAGCUUUUCUUUGUUUGUUUGUUUGUUUGUGAUCAAUAAGCCUGCAUUGAUAUGAAGGAAACAGCCAAUAAAUAAAAUUGGAUAGCGAUGUUAAAGGUUUUAGCAAGUUAGCUAAAAUUACGUCAAAUUAAGUGUGAUAACACAGGCUUUCAAUGUGGGAACAUUUAACUGCCAUGCAUGAAUCAUUAAAAGUGUGAUGCAAAUGCCAUAAAGGAGUGCAGUGCCGUCAGUGUUUUUAUUAAAAACCUUGACUUACAGUUGACAACACUGGCUGUGAAAUAGAAAUAUCUUAAUCUGGAGGGCGUUUUUAAAAGUUACCGUUGAGGUCGGCUAAAACACCAUUUUGGUCAUCACAAGAUAACGAACUUUGUUAUAUCGAGAUAACGAAAUGGCAAGUAAUUUUCACUAGAUAACAGUGCAUAAAAAAAAAGGAAAAUACAUGGCUGUGCUCGUUGAAAGUAUAAUGCGCAUGCGCAAAAUGGAGCAUGUCUUCAGUGUUUUUAUUAAAAACCUUGACUCGCUGUUGACAGCAUUGGCUGCGGCAUUUUACAAAUACCCUAGUCUAGAGGGCGUAUCAAAAGUUACCGUUGAGGAGGGCUAAAACAUCAUUUCAGUUAUCACAAGAUAACGAACUUUGUUAUGUCAAGAUAAAGAAAAAAACAUUUUCUGAUAGUAUCGUCAUCUUUGUCUUUGUCUUUUUUAUGAAAUCAAAAAAGCUAAUAAAAAAUAUUCAAUUGAACGCAGUACUAGUCCAGGCAGGCCACACAGAGAAGCUCAGUUAACAGUAAUUCCUCUGGUUUGAACGGUAGCUCAGCUGAUUAUCUUCUAACUGAUAAAGUUGAAAGUGGGCAUUCUUUAACCAAGAGGACAAACAGCUUCUUUAGCUAAUGGAUGAUUCUCAAUUAAAGAUGUGUCCCACUCAUUAAUAGUAGUUGUGUUCAUCGUUUCAUAGAGAAGAAAAAAAGGUCAGACUUUACAAUAACCAUAAUUUAUAAAUGGCAAAUAGAUAGUUUAUUAAUGUAAGUUUAUAGUUACUUUACCAUUAACAAGCAAUGAAAUUAUGAUGAAUAAUUUUCAUUGAUUAUUAAUGGACUAUUAUUAAAGGUUUAUAUAGGGUUUAAAUAUUGGCUGUAAAACAUCUAGAUUAAAUUGCGUGUCAGUAGCACUUUGUAAAUGGUUAAUAUUUGGUUUUUUAACCAUCUGCAAACAUUACUUAGAUGGUGACUGUAAAGUUAUAGUUAUAGGUAUAGUUGCUUACCAUUUAUAAAUGGUCGAUUUACCAUUUAUAAGUUAUGGUUAUUGUAAAGUGUUACCGAAAAGAAAUGUACAACUGUCAUUGUACAUUCUCAAGAAAGCUGGUUGAAAAUCUGAGGUUUCUGGCUGCUGUGACUGAAAAAAGAGGCUGUGAAGUCCUGGAGGUAUUGAUUAGUGGGUUUUGUCCAGUCACUCCAGAAGAAAGGAACGCUCGUGUCCUGCUUUUAUGCCUCCGUCUCAUUCUUAAUGUAGUUACUUCUUUGUGUGCUCGCCCAAGUCGUUGCAUUAUUCGUCAAAACAACACGAGGGAACAUCCAGACAGCGAGAAGUUUGUGUUCCUCCUUCCGCUCUGAAGUAGCAAAAGGCACAGCGGCUUAUUUAUUCAUUAUUUAUCUUUUUAUUGAAUCAAUUUUAAUCUUCCUUCCUUGUUUUCUAUUUUAAAACAGAAUGGGAAUCAAUGCAAUAAAAUCCAUAUCUGUAUAAUGUUCCCAUCAGAGUUGGGAGAUAAGGCGUCUCAUUCGGAGUUUAUUUGCCGACCUUUUUGAUUGGGACCGGCUCGUCUUUUCGCUCAGACAGAUAUUGUCUUGAACUCUGACGGAGUAAGGAGAUGGAAUAAGAGUCGGCCUCUCCUGAGAGAAUAAGUAAAAGGUUCAACAAAGGUCAGCUCUGUGAAUUAUUUAAUCUCUUUAUCUCAGCGUGGUAACACAGUCCAUCAUUGGAGAAACGUGGGAUGUUCAACCCACUGGAUGAUUAAUUUGGCGAUUUUGAUGGAAAAACCUGUGGGAUGGAGGCAGAAUCAAUUGUUUUAUAUGUGUUCUGUGUUUUUCCGUUCGCUCACGUCUUCAGAGACUCAUUAUAACGUCUGAAUUUCCCUUUGCUCACAUUCUACUUUCAUGUCUUGGAUGAAUUUUUUACAAGGCCAGCACAUUUUCAGGUGAACGUCUGUCUUUAAGUCCGCCGAGUGUGUAUUGCUUUGUGUCUCCAAUCUAUACAUAAUAAAUGAAGCGGGUUUGGGAAUGACAUGAGCUUUACAACGCAGACUGGGGAAAAGGUAUCGUGGUGGAAGACUUAGUUAACUUUAGUACAAGAUACACAAAACUUUCAGCUUUUUAAAACUUAGUUCGAAAUUGCUCUCCUUCUUAUUAAAGAGUUUGUGCUCAGUUCUUGCGCAGUGAAAACUCAGACACACCUGAGAGUAGUACCUCCAGGUUCAACACAAACUUACACUUAACAAAAAGAUAUUUAAUUCAACUCUUUUUCAUUGAUAUCACCUGCAGAUUUUCUAAAGAGACGUUUAAAAGCAAAACAAUCGUUGGUGCGGUGAGGAUACUGACUUAACCCUAGCAUCUGAUCAACAAGUGAAGUGGAGCUGAUGUGGGUUUCUGGUCUCCUGACAACCUGCUAGAACAUGCCCAUCUGUGGACCAACUCAGCCAUGCACCUAUUUACACAAAUUCACCAAGGUAAGGCCUCUGUAAAGUUUGCUGUUAACAGUAAAACUGAGACUCUUCAGAAACAGAUACAAAGUUACUUUUUAUGCUCUUGUCAAUGGGGCAACAUAUAAAAAGCGUAAAAUAUAUAUUUGUUUCUUUUUUCUUUUUGAAUCUCUCCAGUUGUAAUACACACACACAUAUAUAUAUAUAUAUAUAUACACACACUUUAAAAAGUAGUUUACAUAAACCAACCCCAAAGUGGUGUCAAGUUACUUCCUCAACAAAAGCAUUAAAUAUAUAGUUUUUCUUUUUUAUUUUUGAAUCUCUCCCAUUUAAAAACAAAACAAAACAUUGUUUUAAAAAUAAAAAAAAACUUUUUUGUUGUUGUUUUUUCUUCACACUUUUUAAAAGUAGUUUAAAUAAACCAAGCCCAAAUUGGUGUCAACUUAAUUCCUCUAUAAAAAGAAUAAAAUAUAUAUUUCUUCUUUUUUCUUUUUUAAUCUCUCCUGUUGUAAAAAUAUAUAUAUAUUGUUCAAAAAAAUUAUAUAUAUUUUUCUGUUGUUUUUUCGCACUUUUUUAAAGGUAGUUUCAAUAAAGUUACUUCCUCUCUCAGCCUCACCCCUCACUGAUCUCACAUCCAUGUCGCCCAAUAAACACAAACAACUUCCACAUGCUGGAUCCCUGAG